GGCGACCGGCGAAUGGGUGAGUAACACGUAUCCAACCUGACCCGCACUCGGAGACAGCCUUCGAAAAGAAAGAUUAAUACCCGAUGCGGCCGCGUUCCCACAUGGGAUUGCGGUCAAAGAUUCAUCGGUGCGGGAUGGGGAUGCGCCUGAUUAGGCAGUUGACGGGGUAACGGCCCACCAAACCGACGAUCAGUAGGGGUUCUGAGAGGAAGGUCCCCCACAUUGGAACUGAGACACGGUCCAAACUCCUACGGGAGGCAGCAGUGAGGAAUAUUGGUCAAUGGGCGGAAGCCUGAACCAGCCAAGUAGCGUGCAGGACGACGGCCCUCUGGGUUGUAAACUGCUUUUGUGCGGGGGUAAAGUGACCCACGUGUGGGUUAUUGCAAGUACCGCACGAAUAAGCAUCGGCUAACUCCGUGCCAGCAGCCGCGGUAAUACGGAGGAUGCGAGCGUUAUCCGGAUUUAUUGGGUUUAAAGGGAGCGUAGGUGGCCGGUUAAGUCAGUUGUGAAAAGCAGGUGCUCAACAUCUGCCUUGCAGUUGAAACUGUCCGGCUUGAGCGUGUGAGAGGCAGGCGGAAUUCGUGGUGUAGCGGUGAAAUGCUUAGAUAUCACGAAGAACUCCGAUUGCGAAGGCAGCUUGCUGGCCCACGUCUGACACUAAUGCUCGAAAGUGCGGGUAUCGAACAGGAUUAGAUACCCUGGUAGUCCGCACAGUAAACGAUGAAUACUCGCUGUUUGCGAUAGAAUGUAAGCGGCCAAGCGAAAGCGUUAAGUAUUCCACCUGGGGAGUACGCCGGCAACGGUGAAACUCAAAGGAAUUGACGGGGGCCCGCACAAGCGGAGGAACAUGUGGUUUAAUUCGAUGAUACGCGAGGAACCUUACCCGGGCUUGAAUUGCAUACGACGUGCGCGGAGACGCGCAUCCGGCAGGG
rnacentral:rRNA from 1 species